rnacentral:rRNA from 1 species
AGCGAACGCUGGCGGCAGGCCUAACACAUGCAAGUCGAACGAAGCCUUCGGGCUUAGUGGCGGACGGGUGAGUAACACGUGGGAACGUACCUUUUGGUUCGGAAUAACGCAGAGAAAUUUGGGCUAAUACCGAAUGAGCCCUUCGGGGGAAAGAUUUAUCGCCGUAAGAGCGGCCCGCGUUGGAUUAGGUAGUUGGUAGGGUAAAGGCGCACCAAGGCUACGAUCCAUAGCUGGUCUGAGAGGAUGAUCAGCCACACUGGGACUGAGACACGGCCCAGACUCCUACGGGAGGCAGCAGUGGGGAAUCUUGCGCAAUGGGCGAAAGCCUGACGCAGCCAUGCCGCGUGAAUGAUGAAGGUCUUAGGAUUGUAAAAUUCUUUUACCAGGGACGAUAAUGACGGUACCUGGAGAAGAAGCCCCGGCUAACUUCGUGCCAGCAGCCGCCGUAAUAC